rnacentral:lncRNA from 1 species
AUGCAACUCUUUUAAAUAUAUUAAAUAGCAUAUGCAUCCUUACAAAGUUCAAGUUAUCAAAUCUAUUCCUUCAAAAGCCUAGUAACGUUCAUAUUUGCCCAUUUGGUUUGUUACUGUUAGUAUUUUCAACGAUGAGUGCGUAAAAUGACUAUUUUGUCAUUAUAAAUUUGUUCCAAUGAAAAGCUUUUUUUUCUUUCUUUCUCUCUUCUUGUCUUCGCCAUAGCACGUACAAUGCACUUCAUUUUUGCCAAUCUAAGGUCUCGCCUUCGACGUUGUUGACGCAGUUUUGCUGUCACCAUGAAUAAAAAAGAGAGGAUGCAUGAGAAAAAUGACGAAACUCAACAUUAAAAUAUAAAUUAUAUAUAUAAGAAAUGAAAAGGUCAUUUUACCUAUUAACUAACUGUGGUUAAUUUUUUUAACUCAUGAUUAUUUAAAUUUUGGUAAUAAAAAAAUAUAUUUACAAGCGAAAGAACUUUUGGAGGGAUAAAUUUGGUAACUUAAAUUUUAUAGAAAUAUAUUUGCUAUUUG